rnacentral:rRNA from 1 species
GCGUGCGGGAAGAAGGCCUUCGGGUUGUAAACCGCUUUUAGUCGGGAAGAAAAGGCGGGGGCUAAUACCCUCUGUUUUUGACGGUACCGGCGGAAUAAGCACCGGCUAACUACGUGCCAGCAGCCGCGGUAAUACGUAGGGUGCGAGCGUUAAUCGGAAUUACUGGGCGUAAAGCGUGCGCAGGCGGUUCGUCAAGUCUGAUGUGAAAGCCCCGGGCUCAACCUGGGAAUGGCAUGGGAAACUGACGGGCUGGAGUAUGGCAGAGGGGGGUGGAAUUCCGCGUGUAGCAGUGAAAUGCGU